UGAGAUGCUGUCCAGAACCUGGGCCAUCAUGGCUCAUCAGGGAGGCUGAUGUGGUAUGGCCUUAUUAGGGGGUGGGCUUUGAGACUCUCCUCUUAGCUACCUGGAAGACAUACUGCUCUUGACUGCCUUUGGAUCAAGAUGUAGAACUCUCAGCUCUCCUGGACCAUGCCUGCUCAGAUACUGUCAUGCUUCCUGCCAUGAUGAUAAAUGGGUUGAACCUUAGAAUCUGUAAGAUCUUACCAAGGACUCUGGAUGAAUAAGCACGAAGGAAA
rnacentral:lncRNA from 1 species